CCAGUAUUCGAGGUUGGCGCGGAUGACGCCGAUAUCGAUGUCGUCGAAGUCGACGGCGUGCAAAUCGUGCUCCA
rnacentral:tRNA from 1 species